rnacentral:rRNA from 1 species
CCUACGGGAGGCAGCAGUAGGGAAUCUUUCACAAUGGGCGAAAGCCUGAUGGAGCAACGCCGCGUGAAGGAUGAAGGCCUUCGGGUUGUAAACUGCUUUUAUAAGCGAGAAAAAUGCUGGUAACUUAUGACUAAGGAUCGGCUAACUACGUGCCAGCAGCCGCGGUCCUACGUAGGAUCCGAGCAUUAUCCGGAGUGACUGGGUGUAAAGAGUUGCGUAGGUGGCAUAAUCAGUAGCUAGGGAAAUCUGGUGGCUCAACCAUUCAGACUAUUAGCUAAACUGUUAAGCUCGAGACCGUUAGGGGUAACUGGAAUUUCUGGUGUAGGAGUGAAAUCCGUAGAUAUUAGACGGAACACCAAUUGCGUAGGCAGGUUACUGGGACGGUUCUGACACUAAGGCACGAAAGCGUAGGGAGCAAACGGGAUUAGAUACCCGGGUAGUC